GGUUGCAUCUCAGAGGAGAGAGAAGAGACUAGGAAUUUGUGGCAGUUCGGGAACACAAAUCUUUAUUUACAUGGACGCCUCAGAGUUGGGUGAAAGCACAGCAGUUCGGGCCACGUGGAGCUAGCAAAAUGGCCGCCUCCUAUGUGCAGCAACCCUCCUCUGAGUUAGGUCAUGGAGGAGAAAAAGGAAGCAAGAGAAAGAAAGUGGAAGCAGCAGGGCUUUUAAGGGAGAAAUUCCGGAAGUGGCAAGUUGGGACAGGAUUGGCUAGAAAAAGGGGGUGGAGAAAACAAGGCAUUCUGGGAAGCUAGGGUUUCAGCUCUAGCAGGAAUGGGCGAUACUCUGAGGGUAUCUGUACAAUUACCCAACACCUCCCCCUUUCUUUGUAUCUAAUGGCCAUAGAAUAGGAAAUUUAGAGCGGAGUAGGCUUAAAUGUUUUUUAAGGAAUGCCAAGCUCCGGUGGGAAGAUGUAGGAUGUUUCUGUGGGGGAGGGAAGACUUACAUAGCCACCAACCUUGGGAGAUUUAUGUGUCCCCCCUUUUGCUCAACCCCUCUGUAGAGAGACUUACCUGGAGGGACUCAUAGGUUAAGCUCUGCCAGGCUCCACCAUCUCACAAUUUUUUCUACAUCUUUCCCUAUCUUCCUAUCUAGUUGUCACAUUAAAAUGGGUCAAUGUCUGUAAAAGACUCCAUUUAUAACAGGAAUAGUAGUGUAGGGGUGAACAGAAACCAUUUGGACAUAAACCUAAAUAUCAUGCAGGCAUUUUAAAAAUAACUGGAACAAGACAGGAAGGGACAAGUAGGAGAGCAGCAAGAGCCAGUGUGAUGCCAAGAGGAGGCCUGUUGGGCAAAAGGGUGUUUCCUGCCUCUGGGGCCAGGGCCUAGUAAUGGGGUGUCUCCUGCCUCUGGGGGCAGGGCCUAGUAAUGAGGGGUUGUUUCCUGCAUCUGGAGGCAGGGCUUGCAGUCGAGGGGCAUGGCCUAUAGAGUCCCAAGACAGAAACCUAUAAUGUCCAUGAACUGCUGCGGUCAGUCUUUGAGAAACCUGGCAGCGUAAAGAGAAGCUGUUGUAAAGCGGUGUAAAGUGUUCAAGAGGUGUACCAGCAAAUCCGAUAGAAGCAUCAGUCCAAUGUUGACGACCAGGGGAAGAAAUGUCAGGGGUUGAAACGCUGCAUGUCUAUCUCGAUGGGGAAGGUCAGCCACCAGAACUUUGUUUCUCUGUAGAGAGUGAGCUGGAACUACCAAAACGUGACAGGCGAAGCAGAAGCAGGAAGGGCAGACAGUGAUGGGAGAGAGAAAAGGCAGUAAGAAAGUUCUGUCCUUGGAGUCUGUGAAUCAGGUUCUUCAGAUCAUGUGUCUCAGGGGGUGUGCUCAGGGUCUCAGGGUGUAGUCAUGUCAUCUUGUGGGCGAAGUCAGAGGACGGGUCCAAAUGGAUUUCCAGGGAUUCCUGUGAAACACGAAUCUUCCUGUGGUUAGCAGGGCAUCUGGUUCGAAUUUUUAUAGAUAUUAAAAGAGGUUUAAUGUAGUUUGUGCCUUAGCCAACUGAAUAUUGGGUGGAUGUAUCCCCCCUUCUUUUUUAUUUAAUUGGGCCUAGGUGUUUGGCGGGCCUUUUCAACAACUAUUUGUCUUUGGGGGUUGUAAGGGAUAUCUGUGGCAUGAGUGAUGUUAUAAAGGAGAAAAAAAAUCUUUAAAUUGUUAGCUGACAAAGGCAGGCCUAUCGUGGUAAAAUGAGAUACACCAGUUAAGUGUAGAAAAAUAUGCGAAUGUUGUUAAUUUAUAUAAGUUGUAUAUGGAGGAACGUCUUAUAGUUUAAUACCUUACCAUAUGAGCAGAUGUUUCUUCAUAUGAAGGCUUUGACAUAGUUGUAGUCAAUUACUUGUGAAGAAAAAAAACUUUUAACAAGUUAGAAGUUUAUUAUAAUUGAUAACUCGAUUAUAAUUGGUUAAAGUAUCUUUAUAAUUUUGUUAACAGGUCAUCUUAUGUGACCUCGUGUAGCAGUCUCUGUACAGCAGGUUCUUCAGACCAAAUUUAGUUAAAAUAUAUAUUGAUUUUCUACUAUUUUUUACUUUUGGCGUAUGAAGCCAUUCUAGAAUGCCAUGAUUCUGCCGCAGUGCCCCCACUACCGUGGGGGUGGAGUUAAAGAUUAGAAGAUUUACUGGACAGGAGGGGGAGAACCAAACAAGGUGCAUGUCUUGGAGAGCCUGGUUAACCCUUUCCAGUGCCAAGGAGGCUUCGGGGGUUAACAUAUGCUUUGAGGAGGGCUAUUUGUUUCCUUUAAACAGAUCAAACAGUGGUUGGAGGCAGCUAGUAGGGAGAUAAAGAUACUGCCUAAGCCAAUUUAAAUUUCCAAGAAAACUUUGUAAAGAAGCAAGAGUGAGAUUAGAAGGAAAAGUAACACAAGGUUUUAAAGGAUGAAUUUACAUUAGGGAAAUCUCUGAGCCUAAGAAAGAUAUUGGAGGAAUUAGCUGUACCUUCUCAGGAGCUACAUUAAGGCCGGUUUUCUUUAAGGCAGGGAUAAGAAAAUCACAUAGGGCAGAGAGAUCUAUAUCUAAUUCUCCCUAAAUUAAGACAUCAUCCAUAUAAUGAAAAAACAUAAGGCCCUUAUGUAUAUAUAUGGGAAAAGGGCAGAUUUAACAGCCUCUUGACAAAUAAUAGGACUAUUGGCCAUGCCUUGGGGCAGUACCACCCAUUCAAGUGUAUUGGCAGGACUGGCAUUAUUAAUAGAAGGGACAGAGAAGGCAAAGUGCUUACAAUCUUGUAGGUGCAAGGGAAUAGAGAAAAAACAAUCCUGUAUAUCAAUAGCUAUGAUUGGAAUUCCCAUGGGAAUUGCAGAAGAAAGAGGCAAACCCCUUUGGGUGGAGCCCCAGACCUGCUUGGUUUUAUUAACCACACGGAUAUCUUGGAGGAGGCACCAUUUUCCCGAGCACUUCUUAAUCACAAAGACAGGAGUAUUCCAUGGACUCUGGGAAUGAUGAAUGUGUCCCAAGGACAACUGCUCUUGGAUGAGCUCUUUUAAAAUUUCUAGCUUCUCCCUAGGCAAAGGCCACUGUUCCACCCAGACAGGCUCAUUAGAAAGCCAAUCUAAGUGGGGAGUUUGGUUACGAAAAGUGGCAGUUAGUAUUGGGGGUGCUGGUUAGAUCUAGAAUUCUCGAAGAAGUGGGUGUGGCACCCUGCAGAGGCGUCUGAGGAUAUUAGUACAUCAAGAGAUUCCAGCAAGUCUCUGCCCAAUAAGUUGGUGCUAAUAUCAGCUAUCAAAAGACACUAUUUAUCACAAAUAAAAAAUAGUUGGAAAAAGUAGAAAAUCCAUAAGCCAACACACUCAUCAAUGAUGGUUAUAUAGUUCUACACUACACCCACCACCAAUAUUUUGUGCACCCACUAUAUUAAGGAUAUGUGCCAUAGAUCUCCCAAUGUCUUAGAGACAGUUUGCUACAGUUCGAAUCCUUAUUUCUUCAUUUUUGUUUUUGGAAAUUUCAUGUUUCAGUUUUUAUAUCCACAUGAAGUAGUCUUUUAUUUCUUUUUUUUUUUAAAGAUUUUACUUAUUUAUUGAUGAGGAAGAUAGUAAGAGAGAGAAAGAACCAGACAUCACUCUGGUACAUGUGCUUCCAGGGACUGAACUCAGGACCUUAUGGUUGAGUCCAAUGCUUUAUCCACUGUGCCAUCUCCUGGACCACUCUUUUAUUUCUUUGCAUAGUUUGAUAAACAUAAAAGCAUCGAUGUCUGGAGCUGAGUAGUAGUACACCUAGUUAAGUACACACAUUAUAAAGUGUAAGGAUCUGAGUUCAAGUCCCCCCACUCCCCACCAGCAGGGGGUCCACUUCAUUAGUGGUGAAGCAGGUCUACAGGUGUAUAUCUUUCACUCCCUCUAUCUCUGCACCCUCUUUCAAUUUAUCUCUGUUCUACAGCCCUGUAUAAUAAAAAUUAUAAAGAGAAACAAAUAGGUGCCAGGAGUGGUGAAUUCAUAGUACUGGCAUCAAGCUCCAGAAAUAAAUUUGAUGACAAAAAACAAUAGCAAAACUCCAACUCCAGCCAUUCAGUAACAGAUGACACAAUAUCAUCUUUUUUGCAUUACAGAGUAGUAUUCCAUAACAUAUAUAUCCUUUAACACUUUUAUUCAUUCAUAUGUCUGAACAUUUAUGAUGCUUCCACUCUUGGCUAUUGCAAAUAAUAAACAUAUGAGUUCAUAUCUCCCUUCAAAUUAGGAACACACUGACUUUGCUUAGAAGUUGUCUGAUUACCUUUUCCCCCCACAACCAGGGCUUUCCAGCAUCUGCCCUUUGCCUUAUUUUAUUUUAAAUUUUAUUUAUUUUAUUUUUUGCUGGGUUAUUGCUGGGGCUCUACACCUGAUAGAGAACAUUUUCUCCCCAUUUUGUUAAUCUUGUUGUCAUAGUUAUUGCUGUUGGUCAGUACAGAGAGAAAUCCAGAGAGGAGAUGAAGACAGAGAGGAAGAGAGAAAGAUAGACAUCUACAGACCAGCUUCACCACCUGUGAAGGAACCCUCCUUGAGGCUCACUCUGGGUUCUCCACCUUCUAGUGACUGGAGACAGGGAUUGGAGCGACCCCUGAAAGUCUUAGGGGGCUCUGGUGUCAAGGGUAACAUGCGUGAAGAGGAAAGCCAAGCCAGACUUAGCGGGCUCUGGGAGAAGCCUCUGAGGGAUGACUCAUUUAUUGAGAGAUACAAGCAAGUAGAUAUAACCCACAGUCGAGAGAGAAGGUUGAGGUCAUCAUUAACCCAAAAAUUAACCCAAACACAAUACAUAGUUACAUCUUGACCUACAAAGUAUUUGAUCACAACUGGAAAGUUACCGUAUAAGGUUUUGUCAUGAGCUCACAAUAUAUGGAUAGGCAUUUUUUUCUCAGGAAAAAUUACAGGCACUUCAGGGCAGGGGGGAACAUUUGAAGAGAGCCAGGAUAUUUGCAGUGGGCUUCAAGUAAGCCAUACACAGUAAUUUAUGGCCUUUGUUUAACGGGGAUAGGGUGGGAAGGUAUGUACAGGAAGGUACCCAGUCUGAAGAAGCCAUCCAUCAUAGGUUCACAAGGUCAAGGGGACCAGCCUAACACAUGCCCCCCAGAAAAGGAGGUGAACUCGGGGGUCAACUCUCUUAGACUCUCAUGGAAACAAUGGUCUGGACUUCCUGGACAGUUGACCAAUUCCCUACACCACCUGUAGAUGGGGAGCUGAAGGUUCAAACUGGGAACCUCCUGGUCCUUGCGUUUCAUACCAUGUGCACUUAACCCACUGCACUACCACCUGAACCCCAUGUAAGGACUUCAACUGUGAGCUCCACCUUGGCCACCCAGUGACCUGCCAGUAUCAAUCAGUUCCAGGAAAAUUCUUGACCCAUUGGAGUACCAGUGCACUUAAGAAGUAUUCUUUAAGAAAGAGGGAGUAGAGGGUGUGGAUUUCUCCGCAAAGGAAGUGUGGAGGGUCCAUAGGGGGAGUUCUAAAAUUAACUACCUAUAUUAGCUUCUGUCCCCUGCUUGCUUGUGAAAUUUGUGAUUUUUGACUCUGUAACCUGCUGUGUAACAAGAGCCAGUACUGUUCUCUGAACAGCACUUUGUUGGAAAUAUGGUCACAAGAUGGGAAAUAAAGACUCAUUAAUAGA